rnacentral:rRNA from 1 species
ACGGGUGAGUAAUGUCUGGGAAACUGCCUGAUGGAGGGGGAUAACUACUGGAAACGGUAGCUAAUACCGCAUAACGUCUUCGGACCAAAGUGGGGGACCUUCGGGCCUCACGCCAUCGGAUGUGCCCAGAUGGGAUUAGCUAGUAGGUGGGGUAAUGGCUCACCUAGGCGACGAUCCCUAGCUGGUCUGAGAGGAUGACCAGCCACACUGGAACUGAGACACGGUCCAGACUCCUACGGGAGGCAGCAGUGGGGAAUAUUGCACAAUGGGCGCAAGCCUGAUGCGGCCAUGCCGCGUGUGUGAAGAAGGCCUUCGGGUUGUAAAGCACUUUCAGCGAGGAGGAAGGCAUAAAGGUUAAUAACCUUUGUGAUUGACGUUACUCGCAGAAGAAGCACCGGCUAACUCCGUGCCAGCAGCCGCGGUAAUACGGAGGGUGCAAGCGUUAAUCGGAAUUACUGGGCGUAAAGCGCACGCAGGCGGUUUGUUAAGUCAGAUGUGAAAUCCCCGCGCUUAACGUGGGAACUGCAUUUGAAACUGGCAAGCUAGAGUCUUGUAGAGGGGGGUAGAAUUCCAGGU